rnacentral:rRNA from 1 species
GACGAACGCUGGCGGCGUGCUUAACACAUGCAAGUGGAGCGACGAACCAGGGCUUGCCCUGGGGCAGAGCCGCGAACGGGUGAGUAACACGUGGGUAACGUGCCCCGAUGACUGGGACAACCCGGGGAAACCCGGGCUAAUACCGGAUGUGCCCCCUCACAUCAGUGAGGUGUGUAAAGGAAGCUUCGGCCUCCGCAUCGGGAUCGGCCCGCGGCCCAUUAGCUUGUUGGUGAGGUAACGGCUCACCAAGGCUGCGAUGGGUAGCUGGUCUGAGAGGACGAUCAGCCACACUGGGACUGGGGCACGGCCCAGACUCCUACGGGGGGCAGGGGGGGGGAAUUUUGCGCAAUGCGCGAAAGCGGGACGCAGCAACGCCGGGUGGGGGAAGAGGGCCUUCGGUUUGUAAACCCCUUUCCGUUGGGACGAAGGUCGGGCGGUUAACAGCCGUUCCGGCUGACGGUACCUUCAAAAGGAGCCCCGGCUAACUCCGG